GGGGAUAUAGCUCUGUUGACAGAGUGUUUGCCUUGCAUGAACAAGACCCUGGGUUCAAUCCCCAGCACCACA
rnacentral:tRNA from 1 species